rnacentral:rRNA from 1 species
UACGAAGGGGGCUAGCGUUGCUCGGAAUCACUGGGCGUAAAGGGUGCGUGAGGCGGUCUUUAAGUCAGGGGUGAAAUCCUGGAGCUCAACUCCAGAACUGCCUUUGAUACUGAGGAUCUUGAGUUCGGGAGAGGUGAGUGGAACUGCGAGUGUAGAGGUGAAAUUCGUAGAUAUUCGCAAGAACACCAGUGGCGAAGGCGGCUCACUGGCCCGAUACUGACGCUGAGGCACGAAAGCGUGGGGAGCAAACAGG